UGAGGUAUAGCUCAGUGCUAGAGUACUUGUCUAGCAUACAUAAGGCCUUGGGUUUCAACCCCAGCACCAUAA
rnacentral:tRNA from 1 species